rnacentral:rRNA from 1 species
GAUGAACGCUGGCGGCGUGCAUAACACAUUCAAGUCGAACGGACAGUAGAAAUACUGUUAGUGGCGGACGGGUGAGUAACGCUUGAGCAAUCUGCCUCUGUGUGUGGGAUAACAGGGAGAAAUCGCUGCUAAUACCGCAUAAUGUUGCACCUUCGCAUGAAGGAGCAACCAAAGAUGUAUUGCACAGAGAUGAGCUUGCGUCCGAUUAGGCAGUUGGCGGGGUAACGGCCCACCAAACCGACGAUCGGUAGCCGAACUGAGGGGUUGAACGGCCAAAUUGGAACUGCGACACGGACCAGACUCCUACGGAAGGCAGCAGUGGGGAAUAUUGGAGAAUGGGCGAAAGCCUGAUCCAGCAAUGCCGCGUGAGUGAUGAAGGCCUUAGGGUUGUAAAGCUCUUUCGGGUGGGACGAUGAUGACGGUACCACCAGAAGAAGCCCCGGCUAACUUCGUGCCAGCCGCCGCAGUAAUAC